ensembl:lncRNA
GGCGGGGCACAGAGCCCCCAGCUUGCUGGUAUGCACUGUAGCCGAAUCCUGUAGAUCUGGGGCCAGUCGCUGCAGGGGAGGUCUCCCAGGUCUGCAGGCAGCUUUCGCAUGUGCCCUGGCCCUCAGCUCUCCUGUGCCUGCUGCUGGAAUGUGGAAGCUGGCCACUCAGCCCAACUCGGCUUCUUCUGCCCUCCCCCUGCUCCUUUCAGCCAGUCAAUAUCCUGUACUAAAUCCCUUCUGCUUCAAGCACAACUGCACAGUAUGGACACAGGAUGCAGUCAUGAGAUACUUCCCAAACAUCUUCCUGUUGCUUCUUUGAUCUGACCUGGCUCCACUCUCAGAAACUACUGGGCUUCAAAGAGUGAGAGUACAGGACCACGCCAGCUUUUGCAAGAUGAGGUCGAAAGGCCCUGACAGCCGCACGGAAGACUGUAUUUCCACCUUCACCAGUUCUCCUGUUCUAAACUCAGGCUCAGAAGAAGAUCCUGGGGGCUGAGUGGCGGAGUCCUUCUCCCUGACUUCAUGGCGAGGCAGCCAGCAAGACUAGGCAGUAAUUACCCCCCCCAGGUGAUUGUACAAUGUCUGCGGGUGCCUUGCAAAGCUGGUUGGGAGCCAUGUAGAUACGUGCAGGCUGAGAAGUCUCUGCAUGACGGGAUCUGCUGCUGCCUGCACGGCUCUUGCCACCCCCAAGGGGAUGAUAAGGAAAUAACUGGUUGGGCCAUGCCAGAGUUUUUUUUGGUGAUCAUACAUAGGGGACCCAGCCCUAAGAGAGUUAGACCCUGAAGAUCUUAAACAUCCUUGACAUUUACAUAGCAAACACCAGUGUUUGAAACAUUUGGAAUAAAUCUACAGAUGGAGCACCAGAUUUCAUUGUGUUUCUAAUGGCAAAUGUGGAUGUGAACUGAGAUUGCGUAAAACUAAAAGUCCCCUAACAGGACUUCCCUGGUGCUGUAAGAACAGUUCUUUUCAUGGCCAGACUGUAAAACCAGCAAAGGAUGCUAUAUUAUACGACUGUAUCAGAAAAGUGCUUCCCCCUCCCCAAAUAAAUUUACUAAGAGUUGACUCUAAGACUUAGUUCAGGGCUUCCCUGGUGGCUCAGUAGUAAAGAAUCUGCCUGCCAAAUGCAGGAGAGACACAGGUUCGAUCCCUGAUCCAGGAAGAUUCCGCAUGCCACGGAGCAACUAAGCCGGUGCUCUGCAACUACUGAGCCUGUGCUCUAGAGCCCAUGAGCCGCAAUUACUGAAGCCUGCUAGACCUAAGGCCCGUGCUCCACAACCAGAGAAGCCGCCACAGUGAGAGGCCCGAGCACCGCAGCUAGAGAGCAGCCUCCACUUGUCACAACUAGAGAAAACCCCCCCAACAACAGACCCAGGACAGCCAAAAAUACGUGAAAUUAUAAAAAAAGAUUUAAAGAAGAAAAGUCCUGUGACAAAAGCAGAGAGAGGGGGAGGGGGUCCUUCAUGAAGCCUUUGCACCGUUGGAACUUUUAAACCAGAUGCAUGUACCAUUGUGACCAUGUUCAGUAGCUUAUUAAAGAUGAGAAACAAAUCAUUUAUAUCCAGCCAGCAGCCCACGGCAAGGCACAAAAGGCAACCUGGGCCUUCGGAGUCUGGGGACCGUAUUUCAAGACAUCCCUGAUGUGAAGUACUUGGUGUUUCUUGAAGAUGGAGGCUAUAUACAAAUACCCAUGAUGCUUUUCUCGUAUUCCUUUCCAUUUCACGUUGAAGUCACCAGUUCUUUACUGCUUGUUUCAGGAAGUUUUAAGGAAUAGGCACAGACAUUCAGCUAUCUGAUGCAAAGAACUAACUCACUGGAAAAUGAGAUGCUGAGAUAAGAUUGAAGGCAGGAGGAGAAGGGGCAACAGAGGAUGAGAUGAUUGGAUGACAUCACUGACUCAGUGGACAUGAGUUUGAACAAACUCUGGGAGUUGGUGAUGGACAGGGAAGCCUGGUGUGCUGCAGUGCAUGGGGUCGCAAAGAGCUGGACACGACUGAGCAACUGAAUAACAGUAACAACAGUGAAGCUUUUCUCUUACCCCGUUUCAUUUCACAUUGAUGUCACCGGUUCUUCACUGCCAGUUUCAGGAAGUUUUAAGGAAUGAGCACAGACAUUCAACCAGAGAAGUGCUCAGAAGGCAAUCAGCCCUCAUAAUCCAAGAUGGCAGAAGCCUAACUCCAAGACCCUUGGCCUCCCCAUAAUCAACCCCUACCAGGAAUGUGGGAGGCAGUGAGCUUAGCACACUGAGUGCUCUGGGCUUUCUGGUCUUUGAGGAUUAAUUACCAUAAGUAGUUGCAGGCAGGCCAGGCUGACCCCUUGCCAAAGGUCAGGCAGCCCCUGGCUCCUCCUGCCUCUUUGUCAGAAAGAAUAUUUUUUAUGACUUGAUAUGAUUUUAAAUCUGUUCUGUAGAAGGCUUUCCCUGGAAGAGGAGAUUCUGACAUUCUGAAAAACAUGUCAGCAGUCUCUGCAAAAGCCAUCAGAACACGGGGUGCCAGUAGCAGUUCUUGGCUGCAUCACAAGUGGCAGGCUCCCUCCUGGGGCCGGAGAGGGCUUGGUGGAGGAUGAAGGCCCAGGUCAGGCUGCCUGUGACUUGCAUCCUGGGCAGGGGCUAUUAGCAGAUCCACGUGGACCCUGGCAGGACACUGGAACCACUGUUGUUCCAGAUAAUUUUCCUUUUUUCCUGCCAGUAAGUCCCAAGGAGUCCACAUACUGUUUCUCCAAGGAUCAUCCCAACCCUGGAAGAAUGGAAACUCCCCAUGUCCCCAAGAAUGAUGGCUUUUCUGGUGUCAGAUGGAUGGUAGAAAGGAUGAGUCUCUUCUAAAUGAACCAAGCACCCCGAGUAAUUUGCCUUUAA